rnacentral:lncRNA from 1 species
GAUGAUCGUCCCUUCGAAUGCUAAGGUAUCCUUACAAAUGUUGCCUUCAAUGACCAAUCGACGACCCCACGAUGUCCCUUUACAUUUUCCUGUUCUUUUCCGCCUUUCCUUAUUGGAUAAAAGAAAAGUCGGUGGUGACUCUUGCUAUCCGCAACAUUGCUUUUCAAAGCAAAAACACAAAGUCAGUUCACCGUAUCACAGAACUGGCGACUUUGUUGGGGAAUCUUAAAAAGAGAGGUUACCUUAAAGAUAAUAUCACUUAUGUUUUUGAAUUGUUUCUUUGUCUGAUUUACUUUUAAGGGAUCGUUUGGGUAUUCUAUGCUUGAGUGAAAGAUCCUACACCCGGAUCUAGUGUACCUUAGGUAAGUAGCAAGAGAUCAUCGCGAUUGUCCGGCAUAUACUGGAAUGGUUAAAAUGAUGGCUACGGUUAAUGUGACACUUUGGAUGUCCUGAUGUUCCUCAUGUUUACUUGAGCAAAAAUUUGGCGUCUGCAUGGUGUCAUCAAAGCAUUAACCAGACCUUUAGAACCCUAAUUGACUCAUCCUAGCCAUUAGAAAGUAGUGAGAUAACUGACUUCGGUUCCGACUGGGGUUGGUUGAUACUCGAUGCGUACCUCACAUGAGAUUGGCUUUGGGGGAUGUUUCGUCAGCCUUGGUGUUUGCACUGAUACUUAAGAAAGAUCAGUGAUAUGAGAUCNNNNNNNNNNNNNNNNNNNNNNNNNNNNNNNNNNNNNNNNNNNNNNNNNNNNNNNNNNNNNNNNNNNNNNNNNNNNNNNNNNNNNNNNNNNNNNNNNNNNUACAUUCCUGAAUGGUAGUCUGGUAUACGGCUCUUAUCCCUUGCUCAGGUGCUACCUUCGACAGGUACAUUCCUGAAUGGUAGUCUGGUAUAUCGGCUACUUCCCUUGCUCAGGUCUACCUUCGGACAGGUACAUUCCUGAAUGGUAGUCUGGUAUACGGCUACUUCCCUUGCUCAGGUGCUACCUUCGGACAGGUACAUUCCUGAAUGGUAGUCUGGUAUACGGCUACUUCCCUUUCUCAGGUGCUACCUUCGGAAAGGUAACAUUCAUAAUGGUAGUCUGGUAUACGGCUACUCCCCUUGCUCAGGUGCUACUUCGGACAGGUACAUUCCUGAAUGGUAGUCUGGUAUACGGCUACUCCCCUUAUCAGGUGCUACCUUCGGACAGGUACAUUCCUGAAUGGUAGUCUGGUAUACGGCUACUCCCUUGCUCAGGUGCUACUCGGACAGGUACAUUCCUGAAUGGUAGUCUGGUAUACGGCUACUCCCCUUGUUCAGGUGCUACCUUCGGACAGGUACAUUCCUGAAUGAUAGUCUGGUAUACGGCUACUCCCCUUACUCAGAUUGCUACCUUCGGCAGGUACAUUUCUGAAUGGUAGUCUGGUAUACGACUACUCCUCUUCAAGCAGAUUCAGCCUAACGGACGGCUCAUUCUGCAACUCAGAACCGAUCUAGCGUACGAUCCGUUCUGAUCUUUCAUCCCCAUCAAAGUCAUCCGCCUAACGAACACUCACUCUGAUACCGAUAUGGUCCAAUGUAUGAUCCAUUCUGAUCCUUAUCCCCAGCAGCAUAUAGCAUACUCUGACUCCCCAGCGAAGUCAACAGCAUGAUGGAUGAUUCACUAUACGGUCUAGCGUAUGACCCGUGUAUGACGUCCAUGUCUUCAGACAUUGUCUAACGUACGACACAAUCUGGAAAUCUCCUCAUCAAACUACCUGGAUGGCAUCUUUAAGCCCAUCUCCACCAAAGACUAGUUGGCAAGUGCAAAUUUUUGGGGCAUUCUAGUGUUCAAUAAUCUUUCACCUCCAGACCAACGACGGUACACACCAUCUCUAACUCUCUCGGUUCAAGAAUAUUGAACAGGGGCAGCUGUCAUACCCCAAAAUUUGCCCAUUUAUAUUCAAGACAUUUUUCAAGGCAUUCCGACUCAUUUUCAUGACACUGAUCUUAAGGGAACGAAGGCCCAGCUCGCGAAUGACCCAACUGACCUAUUCGCUACACGCUCGCCUAGUGAUAACAUGAAAGUGGUUUAUUUGGAAGCACAAGUAAAAAUGGAGGAGAAGAGGUGCAAAAAGGAGAGAAACGAACCGAAUAGCAAAGCCCAGCCCAAAGCGCAAGCCACAAAUGUUGUGCUUGUGAAGGACGUCACGGAGGGCGUGACGAGCGUCACGCAAGCAGCCUUGUGACGGACGUCACACAUGGUGUGACGAGCGUCACACCACUACCCUACUUUGGGGCGCACGUAACGCCUCAGAGAUCUGAAGAGACGUUGGGAGUAGCCUCAUAUAGCCAGCCAUAGAAAUACCACGUUGACAGAGCUGUUUUGGCUCUGAGAGUCAGUUACUGUAUUUAAUGGUACCAAUAUAAAUAGCCACGAAGGAAACCUAGAACGGGGGAGGCUUUUCCACAUUUUUUCCUUUGCCGUUUUCGCUUUUGCAUAUUUUCUUUUCCAUCAGCUUAGGCAUUGUUUUUCCUACGGGUCCUACACUAUUUCCCUUACAAUUUCCUAUUUCCUUUUUAGCAUUUAGUUAAUUCUUUUCGCAUAAUAGUUUCUACAACGGAAACUAUUGUGUACCUUUUUACCGGAUCUAACCUUAGUUAGGAUCUAGUUAUUUCCUUCGUUUUAAUUUGUUGUUUGAUUGAAGAAUCUAAGAACAAAUCCUACCGGCUUGUGGUUGAGUGUUCAGGACUACUAUUUAACUUAUUCCGAGUAACCCUAAAGGAAACCCGGAAGGAAAAGCCUACGGCAGCAAGGUCACUUCCGCUCAAUUCGAUCCGAUCGGCCAAUUCGAGUUGCAAUUCAAUUGCCAACAGGUUUGUGUUACUAUCACCGCUUUAUGUUCCUAAUGCCAUGUGAAAUCAUAAUUGAAUUAUAUUAUAUUUGAGGUUUGCAUGUGGACUUAAGUAUGCCUGGAUACCUUGAAUUGUUGUAAUGGAGGCCGCUGUUUCGCUCUGUUUUGAUCUUUACCCAUCGACUUGUUUUAUUAUAACCAGGCUUUGUUUACCUGAUACUAUUACUGCUUUGGUGCAACUCUUUGAUUGCCACCCUGAUUUGGUACUCUAACCCGUUUGCUGAAUUUUGUAAAGGUUCACCUGUCCCAGGAAAGGAUUGCUGUCUAGGUCUUCCACUUUAUUUGUGGGAUACCCUUGUGGAGAUCUGCCCUAAAUUACUUGAUUAAUUUUAAUGUGUUAAUUUUAAUGUAUUAAUUUUAAUGUAUUAAUUUUAAUGUGGAGAUUCAUCCUAAUUACCUAAUUAACUUAAAAUAUGGCUUUUAAAUAUGUGAUCUGGACCUCUCUUUUGCCUAACACGGUAUUACGGUCAUGCCCCGCGAAUGUAGGGAUACACUUAGCAAAGACCCUUCGGUUAAAUCAUCAUAAAAAAAUCAUGGUCCCUCGGAUGUUGCCUUCGAAAAUACGAUUUUGUCCCCGAUGACCCUUCGGUGUAGCCUACGGUUAAAUGAUGAUCGUCCCUUGAAUGCUAAGGUAUCCUUACAACUGUUGCCUUCAAUGACCAAUCGAUAACCCUACGAUGACCCUUUUACAUCCAAAGGAUAAAACUACUUACUUCUCAAUAGUAAGGACAGUUUUACCCUCAUAAGGAUAGGAAAUGCCCAUAACGACCUUAGGAAGGUAUAACUCUCAAUUACUGGAUCAUAACCUAAAAUAUUUUCAACCCUACACCCUUUCAAACCUCUUUUGGAAAUCACCACUUGGCAUACAUUCAUACUAGAAUCAUUACCAAGUUAUAUUUUUCCAAACCAUUUUCAAAACUAAACGAGAUAACCACUUUGUAUACAUUCAUACGAGGAUCAUUACAAAGUUAAAUUCUCUUUUU